AUGGAAUGGAACUGUAUCAUUCUUGUCCUUGUGUCAGUAACUACAGGUGUUCACUCCCAGGUACAGCUGCAACAGUCAGGGCCUGAACUGAGGAAACCUGGGACCUCAGUGAAGUUGUCCUGCAAGACUUCAGGCUUCACCUUCACUAGCAACUUUGUUAGCUGGGUGAAGCAGAGGCCUGGACAGGGCCUGGAGUGGAUUGGAUGGAUUUAUCCUGGAGAUGGUGACACUAAAUACAAUCAGAAAUUCCAGGGCAAGGCCAAACUGACCGCAGACAAAUCCUCCAGCACAGCCUACAUGGAGCUCAGCAGCCUGACAUCUGAAGACUCUGCAGUCUAUUACUGUUCUGAGAUCAUACAUUAUUCUCUGGUCCUGUUUUAUUUCUUUGUCCAUCUCAGAAACCUGCCCCACUGUCUGAAAUCUUUAUAG